AUACGGAGGGGGCAAGCGUUGUUCGGAAUUACUGGGCGUAAAGGGCGCGUAGGCGGCGGAUCAAGUCAGGGGUGAAAGGCCUGGGCUCAACCUGGGAAUUGCCCUUGAAACUGAUCGGCUCGAGUUCGGGAGAGGAUGGCGGAAUUCCCAGUGUAGAGGUGAAAUUCGUAGAUAUUGGGAAGAACACCGGUGGCGAAGGCGGCCAUCUGGCCCGACACUGACGCUGAGGCGCGAAAGCGUGGGGAGCAAACAGGAUUAGAAACCCCGGUAGUCC
rnacentral:rRNA from 1 species